rnacentral:rRNA from 1 species
GACGAACGCUGGCGGCGUGCUUAACACAUGCAAGUCGAGCGGUAAGGCCCUUUCGGGGUACGACGAGCGGCGAACGGGUGAGUAACACGUGGGUGACCUCGCCUCAGCUCUGGGAUAAGCCCGGGAAACUGGGUCUAAUACUGGAUAUGACUCCAUGACGCAUGUUGUGGGUGGAAAGCCUUGUGCGGCUGAGGAUGGGCCCGCGGCCUAUCAGCUUGUUGGUGGGGNGAUGGCCUACCAAGGCGACGACGGGUAGCCGGCCUGAGAGGGCGACCGGCCACACUGGGACUGAGACACGGCCCAGACUCCUACGGGAGGCAGCAGGUGGGGAAUCUUGCGCAAUGGGCGAAAGCCUGACGCAGCGACGCCGCGUGAGGGAUGACGGCCUUGGUGUAA